CGCGAAUGGCUCAUUACAACAGCUAACAAAUCUACUUGAUCUUGACACAAUCCUACUUGGAUAACUGUGGUAAUUCUAGAGCUAAUACAUGCAUUAAAGCUCUGACCUUCGGGGAAGAGUGCAUUUAUUAGAACAAAACCAAGCGGCUUCGGCUGUUUUCGGUUGACUCAUAGUAACUGAGCUGAUCGCAUGGUCUUGCACCGGCGACGUGUCUUUCGAGUAUCUGCCGUAUCAACUUUCGAUGGUAGUGUAUCUGACUACCAUGGUGAUCACGCGUAACGGAGAAUAAGGGUUCGGCUCCGGAGAGUUCGCCUGAGAAAUCGCGAACACAUCUAAGGAAGGCAGCAGGCGCGAAAAUUACCCACUCUCAGCACGAGGAGGUAGUGACGAAAAAUAACGAGACCGUUCUCUUAUGAGGCCGGUCAUCGGAAUGGGUACAAUUUAAACCCUUUAACGAGUAUCUAUGAGAGGGCAAGUCUGGUGCCAGCAGCCGCGGUAAUUCCAGCU
rnacentral:rRNA from 1 species